rnacentral:rRNA from 1 species
ACUUCGGUGUGAGUAAAGCGGCGGACGGGUGAGUAACGCGUAGGAAUCUACCUAGUAGUGGGGGACAACUCGGGGAAACUCGAGCUAAUACCGCAUACGCCCUACGGGGGAAAGCGGGGGACCUUCGGGCCUCGUGCUAUUAGAUGAGCCUGCGUUGGAUUAGCUAGUUGGUGGGGUAAAGGCCUACCAAGGCGACGAUCCAUAGCUGGUCUGAGAGGAUGAUCAGCCGCACCGGGACUGAGACACGGCCCGGACUCCUACGGGAGGCAGCAGUGGGGAAUAUUGCGCAAUGGGCGAAAGCCUGACGCAGCCAUGCCGCGUGUGUGAAGAAGGCCUUCGGGUUGUAAAGCACUUUCAAUUGGGAGGAAAGGUUCACGGUUAAUAACCGUGAGCUGUGACGUUGCCUUUAGAAGAAGCACCGGCUAACUCCGUGCCAGCAGCCGCGGUAAUACGGAGGGUGCGAGCGUUAAUCGGAAUUACUGGGCGUAAAGCGCGCGUAGGUGGUCUGUUAAGUCGGAUGUGAAAGCCCCGGGCUCAACCUGGGAACUGCAUCCGAUACUGGCAAACUAGAGUGCGGGAGAGGGAGGUAGAAUUCCAUGUGUAGCGGUGAAAUGCGUAGAUAUGUGGAGGAAUACCAGUGGCGAAGGCGGCCUCCUGGCUCGACACUGACACUGAGGCGCGAAAGCGUGGGAAGCAAACAGGAUUAGAUACCCUGGUAGUCCACGCCGUAAACGAUGUCUACUAGCUGUAGGGGUACUUGAGACCUUUGUAGCGCAGCUAACGCAAUAAGUAGACCGCCUGGGGAGUACGGCCGCAAGGUUAAAACUCAAAUGAAUUGACGGGGGCCCGCACAAGCAGUGGAGCAUGUGGUUUAAUUCGAUGCAACGCGAAGAACCUUACCAGGCCUUGACAUCCUCGGAACUUUCUAGAGAUAGAUUGGUGCCUUCGGGAACCGAGUGACAGGUGCUGCAUGGCUGUCGUCAGCUCGUGU